UGCCGCUGGAGCUGACUGUGC
rnacentral:siRNA from 1 species